CGCAUUCUCAACUGUGAUCUUCAUGUCUCCCUUGCUCUCAGUUUUCUGGAGGUGGCUAAAGACUACUCCUUAAUACCCAGACUUUUGAUAGUACAGCACAGAACAUCUCGCAUUCAGAGUAUGCAGUGCCUUUCCCAACUGUGAGUCCGGAUUCUGGAAAAAGAAGCCAGCUCUCCAUGCUGUCAUCCGCAGUGUUCUUACAUCUGAAUGCUGGACCGCUCCACUGUCUCGCAUCAAGAGAUCUGGAUGCAGUGAGAAUCUGUGGAAAGUACCCCUCAAGAGUUUGAGAAGUGGUGCAAAUCAUGGCUGGCGAGGCCACCACAUCAGAAUACCAGUUGUCUUCUCCCACAUGAUCUGUGCCAGCAUACAGUUGAUAAGUGGCUGUGGUGGAAACAGGUUCGACUUCUCCCAGUUGACGUUGAUGCCAAGAUCCUGCAGCUACUGUAAUACAAAGCAGAUCUGCGAAAGUAACCUUCCUUUGUCGUCCUCUACCAGAAGCCAGUCUAAAUAUAGAUACACCACAACGCCCUCCAUCCAUAAGUGUGCCACCACUACUGCCAUAGCUUUUGUAAACACAUGCGGGGCUGUUGAUAACCCAAAAGGGAGAACCCACUGUAAACCACAGGUGUCGUAUGGCGGCAUCCUGACUUAGAUGUAGACUCACAAUCAAUGACUAAUGAGUUCGGCACCGGGUGCCACAAGAGGUGAGGGAGAAGAGCAACCAGACCCUGAGGAGUCUGAAAUAAAAGGAAGAGACGGUCGAGGGGGAGGGGGCUUGCACCUCCUGUUCAAAUGCUGGCUUUCCAGAGUGGUAGUUAUCACAGAGCGUUGGAAACAAUUAACAGCAAGGAAGAUGUAUUCAGUUGAAGGCAUCUUUAACUUCAGGGAGCAAUGGCCCAGAAACUAGAAAGGGAACUGAAAAGAUCAAAAUACAGUUCUGGGAUCAGAAUCAGCAGUGCUUUUGUUCACCACUUCAUAUCUGGAAGAUCUGAAUCAGCUCUUGUACAACAGGUCACAGCAUUCUACUUCCUCAACAAUGAACUUGAAGUAGAGCGAAGGAGCUAUCCCAGACCUCAGAUGUCAUAAGUCUGCUAGCAUCAAGAUGCAGAAAUAGUUUCAGAAUGAUAGUAUCUAAAUUUGCACAGCUAUGAUAGCCUGCUGCAGCAAAAACAUGGUAAUCAUAUUAGUCUGCUGCAGCAAACAACAAAUAGUCUUGUGGCAUUUUAAAGAUGAACACAUUUAUAAUAGCAUAAGCUUUCUUAGACUUCAGUGCACUUUAAGUGUCUGAUGAAGCAGGCUGUAGUCUAUAAAAGCUGGUGCUACAAUAAAGUUGUUAGUCUAAACUGUCUCCAGACCAUUUGGUAUCUACUCUUGAGGCUCUUUAAAAAAAAUCACUAUAUUUGACAGUCAGAGAGUGUUUUUGAAGUCACUGUCCAGUUCUAUAGAAACUAAAGUUGCAAGUCACAAAUUAUUAUUCCAAGUAGUCUCAUAGGGCUGGUUCAGACAUCAUGUAGCCUCAGAAUCACAUGCUACCCCCUCCCCUUCAUGCAUGAGCUGUGGAAUAAUUCUAUCACCAAUUGUGGUUGCAAACAAGUGAGGAUUGGUGUAACAUCCAAGCCAAUGAAUCCCGGCUUAUUCUAACAAGAGGUCUCCCAGACCACGGACUGAACCCAGCAUCAAACCUUGAGUUCAGGUUGUGAUUCAUCUUAAAGCCUCUGGUUAGAAUAAGGCUGUUCAGACAUCAUAACCAAUCCUAGCUUAUUUUUAACCAUAACUGUAACUGGUAGUAAAUUCUUCCACGGCUUGCACACAAACGGGAGGGAGGAGCAUGUGUUUCUGAGGCUCUGAGACAUUGCCUGAAGCCAAAGUUUAAUCUUGGCUUUGCAUAACAUCUAAAAGGGCCCAGAGAUUCAAUUUAGAGCAUUUCAGCAAUCCACAAUAUAUAAAUAUUUGGGUCCAGUAAAAGCUAUCCUCACUCCUACUCAACUUCUUUCUAGAAAUAGAUUAUGUGGCUGCCCUGCCCUCAAGGGCUGUAACGUAAGAAUUCUCUUACCUUUCAAGUUCUUUCGGUUUAAACUUCCACCAGGUAUCUGGUUCACGAAAUAUAACUUUAUACUUGUGUUGCUGUGACUGAAUAAAAGUGCCAAACACAAACAUGACAUUAUUCUACCUUUAUAACCAACAAAAAACCGAUAAUAUUGCCAAUUUUAAAAGUAAUAUCAAGUCUUACUUUGGAAAGCAUCUCAUCAGCUAGCUAUAACUCCCAGCCGCAACGUAGAACUACACAAUAUUAUGUAUGUUUAUCAUAGACACAUUAUGCAGAUAUCUGCUUUCUAUUAUCAAAGUUCACAGAACACAAACAUAAUCCUGCCAAAUGCUUUCAGAACUUAAUCACAGUUUCUCCAAAUGUCAGACACCAAAGCUUUAUUUAGAUUAUAUUCAUCUCCAUAAUUUUAACUGAGGAAAAUCAGGGGUAGCCCUUGGGAUCAUAUUCUUUCCCGUUGUAUGUAUACAGAGAGCAUAUGGGAUCCAAAUCAUCCCAGUUUUCCCCUCAUAUCAUCUGAAUAGGCUGCUGGAGAGCAUGUGUGUGAAGUACCACAGUGCCAUCUACAAAUACAUGCAGGAAGGUUAAUAGGCGUUCAUUUCAAUGUUACAGGAUACUAACCAAAGCAACAUAAGGCUUCAUUUCCCAAGCUUGUAUGUUUGUGUUGUCUAUUAUUAUAGGAGUAAUCCUUUUUUCAAAUGCUUCUUUGGCUGAAAAAUAUAACAGUAGAUAAAAAUAGCUUAAUGCACAAUACUGUAAUGAGAUUGAUAUCUUUAUGUUAUGUUUGUAAGAAAAUUUGUUACAGAAGUUUAACCAAA